rnacentral:piRNA from 1 species
GCUUGGGAACUGUGAAUGCAAACCUCUGC